UACGUAGGGACCGAGCGUUGUCCGGAAUCAUUGGGCGUAAAGAGCGUGUAGGCGGCCACUUAAAUCCUGCGUGAAAUCUUGCGGCUCAACCGCAAGCGGUCGUGGGAAACUGGGUGGCUAGAGUGCGGGAGAGGAGAGUGGAAUUCCUGGUGUAGCGGUGGAAUGCGCAGAUAUCAGGAAGAACACCCGUGGCGAAGGCGGCUCUCUGGAACGCAACUGACGCUGAGACGCGAAAGCGUGGGGAGCAAACAGG
rnacentral:rRNA from 1 species